UUACAGGUGUGCUAGCUUGUCUCCAAGAUGGCACCCAUGAGCCCUAAAUUCCUGGAUUGAUGCUCUUGCCUAGUCCUCUAUUGUGUCAUAUCAGGAUUGUUCCAAGUAACCAAUAGAACACAGCAGAGGUGAUGGCAUGUCACAAAGUUAGGUCAUAAAGGACAUCAUGGUUUCCAUGUUGCUGGCUUCCUCUUAGAUAAUUUUCUCUGGAGGAAACCCAACUGUGUGUUGUGAGAAGAUUUAAGCCAUCCAGGGAGAGAUCCACAUGAUAGUGGGACUCUGUGCUCAUGCCAGUAAGUAAAGAAGAAGGAAUAAGAAAGACACUGUGUGAUCUAGUAUUAAUAAGGAAGUAAGUGAUCAAGUUACUCCAGCUAGAUCAGUAGAAUCUAUUAUCAAGCACGUUGAGGCCGACAGCAUUCACAAAUUAACUGUCUACGUUUAUACUCACUGAUGACUCGUGUUUCCUUUCGAGGACAACUGGGCUUUUCUCCUCUUCUCUGCUGGAUUCUGCUGUUUCCCACAAGGUGUUCAGAGAGUCUGCCCUGAAUCCUACAAGCAGGAGAUGAGAAACACACAGUGACACCAGCAGGAGAACAUGAAGAUGUGGUGACAGUUGUCCUCCUCCUGCAGAGUCCAGAGCAGUGCACUCCUACCACUGGUGCCCUAGCUAAGCCUGGGGGCCAGCAUGCCCGAUGAUAGUCUGGGAGUGCUGCAGAGUCCCCACAAUGGGCACCCAGCCUGUGCCCUUGCAUUCUGCAUGAUCGUGGCCAUUGUCACCUCAGAGCCCCUGUGUACAGAUCAGUGCAUCCUAGCAGAGCUGCAUGUGAGGAAAGACCACGUGAGUCCCGGGAAAGAGCUGAGGCCCUGCAGGGGAAGGUGGCCAGGACCGAGACCUGAUGCCUGUCUGGAGAAUCGUCUGUGGGUGUGAGUGGCACUGUGGGGUCAGUGCCUGGGUUCUGCUGCUCCCCCUCCUCGAAGAUCAGGGCCCAAGCAGGGGAUGGCAUGUGUGUGGCACCUGGAACUGCAGGGCCACUACACAUGUGUGAGGCCAUCAUGGGGACCUGAACACGGUGUCGUCUGCAGACCCCACCCAUCCAUUGGCCCCAAUUCCUGGCCAGCUUCUGCCAAGCCAAGAUGAAGGAUGAGAAGUGGUUGCUACGAAGGACCCUCCUGCAGUGAACCCACUGUGAGGAGGCUGCGCUGACCCAGCCUGUCAUUUCCUUCUCUAAGCUCAUUCCAGAGGUCGGCCAGGGGCAGAGGCAGCCCGUACCUGCCUGCUCUUGUGGCCCGUGAAUCAAGAAUGGAUUUUACAUUUCCAAAUGCCUGAACAAAUAAAAAAAUAACAAUUCAUGACACUGA